rnacentral:rRNA from 1 species
UGGGGAAUUUUGGACAAUGGGCGGAAGCCUGAUCCAGCAAUGCCGCGUGUGUGAAGAAGGCCUUCGGGUUGUAAAGCACUUUUGUCCGGAAAGAAAUCCUUGGCUCUAAUACAGUCGGGGGAUGACGGUACCGGAAGAAUAAGCACCGGCUAACUACGUGCCAGCAGCCGCGGUAAUACGUAGGGUGCAAGCGUUAAUCGGAAUUACUGGGCGUAAAGCGUGCGCAGGCGGUUUGCUAAGACCGAUGUGAAAUCCCCGGGCUCAACCUGGGAACUGCAUUGGUGACUGGCAGGCUAGAGUAUGGCAGAGGGGGGUAGAAUUCCACGUGUAGCAGUGAAAUGCGUAGAGAUGUGGAGGAAUACCGAUGGCGAAGGCAGCCCCCUGGGCCAAUACUGACGCUCAUGCACGAAAGCGUGGGGAGCAAACAGGAUUAGAUACCCUGGUAGUCCACGCCCUAAACGAUGUCAACUAGUUGUUGGGGAUUCAUUCCUUAGUAACGUAGCUAACGCGUGAAGUUGACCGCCUGGGGAGUACGGUCGCAAGAUUAAAACUCAAAUGAAUUGACGGGGUCAUAGCUGUUUCCU